UGAGGAAUAUUGGUCAAUGGGCGAGAGCCUGAACCAGCCAUCCCGCGUGCAGGAAGACGGCCCUAUGGGUUGUAAACUGCUUUUUUAUGGGAAGAAAACGCCCUACGUGUAGGGCACUGACGGUACCAUAUGAAUAAGCAUCGGCUAACUCCGUGCCAGCAGCCGCGGUAAUACGGAGGAUGCGAGCGUUAUCCGGAUUUAUUAGGUUUAAAGGGUGUGUAGGCGGGCCUUUAAGUCAGUGGUGAAAUCUCAGAGCUCAACUCUGAAACUGCCAUUGAUACUGGAGGCCUUGAGUACAGUUGAAGUAGGCGGAAUGUGUAAUGUAGCGGUGAAAUGCUUAGAUAUUACACAGAACACCGAUUGCGAAGGCAGCUUGCUAAGCUGAUACUGACGCUGAUGCACGAAAGCGUGGGGAGCGAACAGG
rnacentral:rRNA from 1 species